UAUGCCAUGAUGCAACUAGACUUUUAUUACAUAGAAAGUAGAUGGGCACUAGUUUGUACACAGAGUGCCAACAGAGUUCUUCCAAUACUCUAUCGGCCUUCGACAAGGUUGCCCAUUUUUUCUUUUUCUUUUAAUUAUUUGUGUUAAUUUAUAUUCUUGAGUUCUCAAAGCAGCUAUUAUGACCCAACUUUUUAUGGCAUAUCAACCUAUAUUGAUGGCUUCACCAGUCUCUCAUCUAUUCUGUUACGAUAG
rnacentral:lncRNA from 1 species